rnacentral:lncRNA from 1 species
CUUUGGCCCUAGACUAGGAGCAAAGGAACACGUUUAUUGAUGGAAGCAGUGGAGAAAGGACUAGAGGUUGGAAAGGAAAGACUCCAAAGUUGCCUGGAGAAAUUAUCCUGAGGAAAAACAAGAUCCAGACAUUUCCGAAAGGGAGGAGUCGGGGGAGGGCAAGGAGGGUUGAAGAUUAGGCAACACUGUGUCGGAAUCAUACAAAUUUGAAAACCGCAACCAAAAACCAGUGCUUUGUGGUGGGGUUUGUUUUUUCCAUUUUAAAUUGCAAGAUAAACAUGGAAGUUUCCGAGGUUCACAAUCUUAGAUUCUAAAGGAAGCAAUAAAAGAGAGAUGCCAGCAGUAAAAGGUCAUCAUACAAAAUUGAGCUGCAUUCACCCCUUCUUCAGUGCACCUUCCCUCCCACCAUUGGUUCUAGAUUCCCGGGCCCAGGAGUUGGAAGCCUUAAUGCUUUCAUUGUGGAAUUUGGGCCACUAGGGGCACACUGUGACCUCAUCAACACGGUUUCCCUGCAUCCUUCACUGCAUAAAGAAGAGUUUUUUAACAGGCCUGUUUCGCUUCCAAAAAUCCAUUCUGUGAUGGAAACCGUGGGGGCUCAGAAGAUCCAAUGCCAGGAGAAAGUCCAGGGGAAAUGCAAGGCUCGCUCUUGGAAAGCCACAGACAAUCACAGGGCCAUGAAGGACACUUGACACACUUGUCAGCUAUCUGACCCAGGAAGAUGAUUUUAUAUCCUUUUUCUCUGAAGGCAUACCGAGAAGGAUUUAUGUGAUGAUCCUUGGUAAUAUAUUCGACAUUCUUAUAUCGUGCAUUUAUUUAUUUAUUUAUUAAGCAUUUAGUAUGUGAAUGAGAGAGUUCUUGCUCUUCUCAAGUUGAGUGUAGGGAGAGAAACAGCUAGUGGGAGAAACCCACUUGUCAUAUCUCUUCGCAUCAGAGAUUUAUCUAUCAUCUCUCAACUUCUUCCCCUUUAAUCUGGUUGCAGUGGUGCUAAAGAAUAGUGUCUCAGGGAAACUCAUGAGAAAAAAAGACCCCAGUGGAAGUGGUGAAAAGAGAAGCUGAUAGAGUGUCUUAACAUAUAUCCAUCUUUUCUUGUAUUCAUCUUUUCUUAUCUCUACAGGUCCUUCUGCCUCCAACUAGAAUGCAAGCUCAAGAGGAAGUGUGCCUUGCUCAUCAGUCUACCUUAAAACCUAGAAGGGUGCUUGCCACCUAAUAAGUGCUCAACAAGGGUUUGUAGAAUGAAUAAAUAACCACCUUCAGCCUAUCA